GAAACUCAUGGAUGGCUGUGGGAGGAUUAACAUUAUAAACACCUGACAUUUAAAAACAAACAGCAAAACACUAAACACAUUUUGUAGUCUGAUGAAAAUUACCAACAAAAACUAAUGAAUCAUGUUUCUAUUGUGUCCAACAGCAGUUGUGGUGUAACCCACAGCAUCUACAUUUACCAGAAUGAUACAGGAAAUGAUGUGAGAGUGAAACUGGCAGGUGCUUCCUGUAAAAAACUAAAACAUAAAACUAACUGAAGGCUUGGUUGUUCCCUUGACGGCCUCGAGAGUGUGGUGCAGCUCCAGUUCACAUCUCCGAGCGGCGCUGGAUGAAUUUAAACUACAGCGCAGCGUGAGGCUAUUAAUAGCUCCUUUGCUGUGUGAGACAACAAUGAGCCGACAUGCUCACAAUAAGCGCACUGUAGCUGUGGAGAUGCACGAAGGCUACAUGGAUUAGGACCGGGUCCCUUGUGAUCCGGGACAUUAGAUCUGCUCUUUGACACGGCAGCAAGGCAGAAUGAGAGCAGGGAGGCCAUAUGGUCCGUAGGAGAGGACUUUAAUUUGGACAUGUUCAGAGGGAAAACAUACAUGCUUCUUGUGGAUUCUUUCUAAGACUUAAGGCAGGGUUUUUCUGCAGGUUCCACCAACUCAAAUUUAAGAUUUCUUAAAACCAUUAUGAAUGAAAUUUCAGAGCUAUGUCUCAACAGAAAUGUAGGAAUUUCGUCCAGCCAACCGGCGAUAAACUUGCACCAAGAUAGAUGCAAAAUAAGCUAGUUAGCUAGCUGUUAGCAGCGUCACAGAAUGCAGUGAAGAUGUUGCUUGAGAUAUUGAGCAAAAGGUUGAGACUUUUCUCAGGAGAGAAAAAAAAUACAUAAAAUAUACAAUUAAAUAGUCCUGCCCAGACAAAAUGUAAGACCUGUGAUUAACAUAUUUACUUUUUAAAAUUAAUUUAAGAUAUUUUAAGGAUCUGUGGACAUCCUGCAAGAGUUGAAAUAAGUUCCUGAAAGAUAGCUGUGUCUCUCCUUCCUGCUUUCUGCUCUUUUAAGAUCGAGAGAAAAACUAUUUUUACUUUGAGCCAUCUGUUGUUGUACGAUAGGGUUUGUCCAGUGAUCAGUAUUGAACAUUUCUGGGCAUCUUAUUCCACAAACAACAGCGCCUCAAUGACAAGACGCACUGUGAGGGUCUUCUGUUGAGCUGAUCAGCUGUUAAACAUCUGCGCUCCCGCUGUAGUUUUGUUUCUGUCACCUUCCUCGUCUCGUCCCCUCUCUGCCCCGACACUCAGGUUCUGCUGUGGGCAAAAUCACAGGACUGCCACAGCUAGCUUUGGAUGGACGCUUUGAGGGGUUGCUGUGGUGAAGGUAGUUGCUAUGGUGGCCCUCUCCCAGGGGGCAGCUUUUUUUGUGAUGGGUGUCGGUACAAAGCCAAAGGCUAGGCCACAGCAUCAAUAAUGAGAAAGGGGGAGGUGAAUAUAUUUUUCCCAUGGUAAGGAUUCAUGAAACAUUUAAAAACUAGAUGAAGUGACAGCAGCUCUGGACUGAAAUGUCUAAAAAUAUUUAUUUUUCCUCACAAACCCUCAGGAGACAUCUGAGAGGGAGCGAGCGAGGCAGAAGGAGCACAAAAACAGAAGACUGUGGAGCAAAAAUGGCACAAGGAGGAUUGGCUGGUGGCCAGAACCAGAUGGUCCUCAAAGGCUGGUUGGCAGCU